rnacentral:rRNA from 1 species
GACAGAGGAGCCAAGCGUUGUCCGGAUUGACUGGGCGUAAAGCGCACGCAGGCGGUCGCGCGCGUGGGGUGUGAAGACUGGCGGCUUAACUGCCAGAGGCCAUCCCAUACGGCACGACUCGAGCCAUGCAGAGGUCCACGGAAUUGCCGGUGUAGUGGUGAAAUGCGUAGAUAUCUGGAGGAACACCGGUGGCGAAGGCGGCAUCCUGGACCAAUACUGACGCUGAAUAGUGAAAGCCAGGGGAGCAAACGGG